rnacentral:misc_RNA from 1 species
GUUGAGCCUUUAACCCAUGCCUUCAAAAGAGGUGAAUAAUUAACUCAAUGGCAAAGGAGAUAAAAAUGUGCAAAAGGUAGACAAGUCAUGGUCGUCAAAGAAUCAGGACAAAACCACAAAUAACGCCAAAUAGUGGAGUAAAAAGAUCUAAUUGCCAGAUUGUGAACAAAAAUUACAGUAAAUGAAUCAAUAAUAGAAGAACAGAAAGGCCAACUCAUUAUGCAUUGUAAAAUUUCAUUAUAGCGCUUUCAGAUCAACAAGAACGAGCAACAAACAAGUUGCUAAGACACAAGAUCAACCACUACAUUGCAAACAGCAAAGUCAGUGAAAUUCUCCCAAUGACAAAAUUAUCUUCAUAGAUGUUAUAUAACCAUCAAAUGGAAGGAGUUAAGUCACAUAGUAUCUAAAGAACCAGCAAUUAGGGACAUUAGAACUUCCAACAUUUGACAUUAAACAGGGAAAGAGGAAGCAACGGAUAGAAA